GGGGAAUUUUGGACAAUGGGGGCAACCCUGAUCCAGCCAUGCCGCGUGAGUGAAGAAGGCCUUCGGGUUGUAAAGCUCUUUCGGUGGGGAAGAAAUUGCAUACUCUAAUACAGUGUGUAGAUGACGGUACCCGCAUAAGAAGCACCGGCUAACUACGUGCCAGCAGCCGCGGUAAUACGUAGGGUGCGCGCGUUAAUCGGAAUUACUGGGCGUAAAGCGUGCGCAGGCGGUUAUGUAAGUCAGAUGUGAAAGCCCCGGGCUUAACCUGGGAAUUGCAUUUGAGACUGCAUGGCUAGAGUGUAGCAGAGGGGGGUAGAAUUCCACGUGUAGCAGUGAAAUGCGUAGAGAUGUGGAGGAAUACCGAUGGCAAAGGCAGCCCCCUGGGUUACUACUGACGCUCAUGUACGAAAGCGUGGGGAGCAAAC
rnacentral:rRNA from 1 species